GUGGAAAGAGGCAUCAGUGACAACACUGUAGCCUGCAGAGGAUGCUCAGAAUAUCCAUUCAUCACAUGCUGGAACUAAAUUUGUUAACCAUGGAAUUGAAAACAAGUUUGAAACAAGAGUCACUGGAACACUGGGAAAAGAAGGGGGGAAAUCUCUUAUUUCAGCAACUGAACGAUCAACGGUUUUGAAACUGCGGAGUAAAGAGAAAAUAAUGACACGUAGAAGAAAAUUGACAUAAUAAGCAAGAAUUUUUGGAGAUAUAGUUAACUUGGGAAGCAACAAAUGGGAAGAAUCUGUGGGAAAAUUAAAAAGUACUGAAAAGAAGAUGAUAAUGAAGAAUGUCAAGGGAAGGCACACGUGGAUCUUCUCUUUUUGGUUUGGCUUGUAGGG